rnacentral:rRNA from 1 species
AAGGUUCAACAUCGGAUCUUUUGGCUCUUCGCUCGAUGAAGAACGCAGCGAAUUGCGAUAAGUAAUGUGAAUUCCAGAAUCCAGUGAAUCAUCGAAUCUUUGAACGCACCUUGCGCUCCUUGGUAUUCCUUGGAGCAUGCCUGUUUGAGUAUCAU